AACCAUGCUUUUCACCUAAACCCAUCACUGGCUGAAGCAGCAACUUGUGCAAGUGACAUGCGGUCCUGUUUCUGUUUCUCCUAUUUCUUGUCAUGACAAGUCUGCAGUCUUGCUCUGCAAGAUCCCUCUGCAGUGAUCCAGGAUGUGAUGGGUAACAAAGACCUGCAAACCUGCUACUACUAGUUCUUGGAGCUUUGAUUGUGACUUGCCACUCAUCCAUGGGAAGAUGCAGAGAUGCAGAAGAAAGACAGCGGGGAAUCAUCAGGGCUUAAGAAGAGGAGAAGCCUCAAAACAUCAACACGUAUACAUUGGAAAGUUCAGAAGACCAUUCUGAGAAAAGAUGCUUUUGCACAUAUAAAAGCUGAAAGAAUCCAUCAACAACAGACUUUCACUAUAGGAAAUGUUAAAGGCCAUUCUUCAGACAGAAGGAAAUGUAUAUCUGGUUAAGAACUUGCAUCUGGAAUAUCUAAUAAACACAUCUCAAAAAUGAAGAAAAACAUUCCAAUUAAAAAUCGUAGAAUUUAAUUUAAUUAGAAUUAAAAGGUUUGAAUAAGCAUUUCACCAAAGAUAUAUAAAUGGUCAUGUGAAGGAAUAUGGAGAAAUUAGAACUCUCAUAUAGCAAUUGGAGAUUACUGGUGGAACUAUUAAAUGAUACAGCUACUUUGGAAGACAGUUUGGCAUUUUCUUUAAAAGAAAGUUUAACAUAAUCUUACCAUACAACCCAGCAAUUUCACUCCUAGGAAUCUACCCAAGAGAAAUGCGAACAUUCAUCCAUUCAGAGAUAUAUGCACAACUAUUCACAGCCCCAUUGUUCAUAAUUGCCAAAAUCUGAUAACAAUCUAAAUCUCCUUGUUGUUGAAUGGACAUACAAAUGUGUUAUAUCUAUACGAUGGAAUAUCAUUCAUCAACAAAAAAAAUAAUGGAUUGCUGAUACAUUUUACAACAUGGAUGAACCUCAAAAACAUACUAAAUGAGAUAUAUAUUUGCUAAGACUUAAUGAUGGGCUCAUGGGAAUACAUUAUACUAUUCUCUGUUUUUCUUUAUAAUUGAAAUUUUUAUAUGUUAAAAAUAAGUAAGUAAAAUUCAAUCUUUAGCAAUCAUCUUUUUUCCAAAAGAAGAGAGAUCCACUCUGAGAUGGAACUAUUAUGGGCAGGAACUAUGUUUGCCAAGGUGAAUGACUGGAGGAAAUGGAGUGGAGAUUCAGUAAUCUUAUGUUUAAUGGUGGAAAUUUUCCUCAGAAACUAAUUAUCUAGGAAUGUGAUAGAAACGGGUGACUUAAACUCUUCACUUCAGCUCAUAAAUCAUAAAUAGGUGAUGCUAAUAAUGCUAUUUUAUAAUAGGGUUUGUAAAUGUUACACAGAUGUAUUAAUGUCAGGCAUUAAUACACACAAAACACUAGCAUAAUGCAUGGCACAUAAUAUACACAAAAGAAGUGUUUUCUUUUUAAAUUUUUAUUAUUUUAGAAUAUUUGUCAUUGAUGGGGCACCUGGGUGGCUCAGUCAGUUAAGUGUCUGAUUUCAGCUCAGGUCAUGAUCUCACCAUUUGUGAGUUCGAGCCCUGCAUAGGGCUCUGUGCUGACAGCUUGGAUCCUGGACCCUGCUUCGGAUUAUGUGUUUCUCUCUCUCUCUCUCUCAGCCCCUUUCCCACUCAACGUCUUUGUCUCUCUCAAAAAUAAAAAAACAAAAAAAAAAUAGAAGAAGAAUAUUUGUCAUUGAAAAUGAAGUCUCUUUAAUUGAAGUUAUAAACUAUAUUUAACAUAGGCUAUGUAACAACCCUAACACUUUUCUGAUAAUCAAAUCACUGCCUCUGCACCUACUGAUCUUAUAAUAAUUAACUCCCUCAGCAUAUCAGGUGUAAGUUAGGAAAAUAUUACCAAUUACAAUAGUUUCAUAGAAAACAAAUUCAAAAAAACUAUAUUACUAAUGUUUAUUAUUUGCUUAUAUACUAUGAUAUAGGAACUAUACUUUUUUAAAAACUCACAAAAUUAUAGUUUAUUAACACAUAAAAAGUAAACUACAAAAAUUAUACCAAACCUAUAUUAGUGACUGCCUCAGAGAAGAAAGAGGUGGGAUAGAACAGUUAAGAAUGAUUGUUAAGUAAGUGCUUUGGCUUAAUCACUAUCAUUUUUUAAAUAAAUCAGACUAAGUUAUAUAUUUCUUAUGUGAUUUACUUUGAGCAUAAAGUUGGAAAAAGCAACUGGAAAAACGUGAUUAUAUGUUAACAGGUUUUUUUCUUUUUUGUGGUGACAUUAUAGGUAUUUGCUAUAAUAUUCAUUGUUCUUUUCUGUAUUUUAAGGCAUACAUUUUUAUUAAGACAACCAACUACAUUACCAGAAAAUUUUCAUGAUCAUAUAAAAAGAUGACAUAAAAUUUAAAAAAAUUAGACAGUCAUUUCUGAUAAAAUGUUGGUCAAGGUAGGAAUAGAAGGUAUUUCCUUAACCAAAAGAGUUUCUAUAUCAAAAUGGAUAAAUACUUGGGGCAGCUGUGUGGCUCAGUUGGUUAAGCAUCCGACUUUGGCUCAGGUCAUGAUCUCACAGUUUGUGAGUUCAAACCCCUUAUCAGGCUGUCUGCUGUCAGCACAGAGCCCAAUUCAGAUUCUCUCCCCCCCACUACUCCUCCCUCGCAUAUGCACUCUGUGUCUCUCAAAAAUAAAUAUAUUUUUUAAAAAAUGAUAAAUACUUAAUAAGAGACAUCAAGACCAUUACUAUUAAAGUAAAUAAGAGGCAAAAAUGUCCUCUAACGUAGGUACUGUGCAGCAUUGCACUAGUGUACCUAGCAAAUGAAACAAAAUAUGAAUAAGAAAUAAGUAGCACAACAAAAAAGCAAAAGUGUCAUAUUUGCAAAACACCAAAAAGUUCAUCUUUAAAAUUCCACUGGAAAAAAAACCCCCAAAAUAUAAUAUUAUGUAAAACACUUCAACACAUUGGAAGAAUAUAAGAUUGUGAUGCAACCAUUAAGUGUUUUAAAGCAAAUAAGAAAUGUAAGGUCAACAUUACAUUUUAAAAGUUCCUAUAUGUUAGAUCCUCAAAAUAUAUAGAAUGCCUAAGAAUAUAUCUAAAUGAAAUGUCUAAAAACUAUAUGAAAUAAAUUAUAAAGCUGUGUAAAGGGCAUAAAUGAUCAUUGUACUCAUAUGUGGAAUUUAAGAAAUAGAUGAACAUGGGGGGGAAGUGAGAGAGGCAAACCAUAAAACAGACUCUCAACUAUAGAGAACAAACUGAGGGUUGCUGGAGGGGUGGUGGGUGGGCAGAUGGGUUAGAUAGGUCAUGGGCAUUAAGGAGGGCACUUGUUGUGAUGAGCAAUGGGUGUUACAUGUAAGUGAUGAAUCACUAAAUUCUACUCCUGAAACUAAUAUUACACCAUAUGUUAACUAACUGGAAUUUAAAUAAAAAAUUGAAACAAAAAAGGCAUAUUAUGUUCUUGAGAUAAAUGAGUAAUUACAAAAAUGUCAAUCUCCUCUUCCAAAUAGUUCUAUAACUUCAGUUUAAUCCUAACCAAUAUCUUUUUUUGUUCUUUCAGCCAUUUUUUAAAUUUGCAGUUCUUGUUCAAUGCAAAUCAAUUCCAUAAUAUGAGAAGUUACUAUGAAUCAAAGCAUAAAUAUACAAACACAAUAUACAAUCCAAAGUAGGUAGACAACAUUCAGGCAUGAAACAAAAAGGAAUGUUCAUUCAUACACAGUAGCUUGAGAUCUGUUGGAAAUGGUUGUUAUGGCGUGGGUUCCUAAAGUUGGGAAAAAAUGACUUUGGUCAUCAAGACUACUGUGGCCAUAUUAGAUAUUGGAACAUUUAAGCAUCAGUGGGGAGAUGGGUGGGCAGAUGGGUUAGAUAGGUGAUGGGCAUUAAGGAGGGCACUUGUUCUGAUGAGCCUCAGUGGGUGACCAUGUGAACAAAAUAUUUUAGAGUGUUUAUUUUUAAAAAGCUUUCUGUGCAUCUGGGCAGUUGUGAAAAGAUGUACUUUCCAGAAUCAAGCCUUCUUUGGGCUUAGGAUGAAGUUCUAACCAUCUAAAAAUAUUGGCGAACAGAAAGUUUUCCAAAUGUGAUUAUUCUGAUUCAGAGUUAAAAAAAAAAAAGUAUUUACAAAAAGAGUAUAAAAGUUUUCCUGAAUUUAUUGUAAGUAAGCUUCUAGUCUUCACUUCCCAAAUACUUGAUUUAUAAUUUUGGCUCCUGCACAUAUUUUGUCUUUUUAAUUUCAAGAUUUGUUAAUUUUACCUUCACAACAGAUUUUUUUUAAUUGCAAAAAGUAUUCAACAUAAGCAGAAAUAAAAGAAUUUUGAAAUUAGUUGAGGUCAAUAUACUCCUACUUUUUGGAAUCAGUUUAGAUAAAUGAAUCUAGCACUCUUGUUGAAUAGGAAUGGGUGAUAUGUAUAUAAGCAAAAUUUGCUCAUUAUGCUUCAAUCUGGGGUAGAUUCCAAUCUAUCAUUGCCUUGGCACAUGUCAACUACUAUACAAAAAAUCAAAUGCAAUGUCAAAUCCAAAGCCUCAGGGGAAAGAGUUCAGUUCCCAAAAAACAGUGAUAGCUCAACAAUGUAAAACUUUAUCUAGACUACACUGGCAUUAAAUCAGUACUGCUGAGACAAUACAUUGAGGAUUUACGGCAACACCUGGAAGAUUCUUCCAUGUACAUAUAAAUAGAAUUAUGGAAGCUUUUUGUAUUAACUGUUUUAUGGCCUUAAAGAUUUAAAGAACCAAAUGAAAACUGAUUCUGUUGACAUCCCAUCCUUUAUAUCUAGGUAAGAUAAAAUCUAUUCUCAUUUUCAAGGUAGAAUUUACCUGUCCAUACUUCUUAAGCCACCUUUAAAGAAAUCAUACCUUAACUAAUCUUGGAUGUUGUCUCUUCAUCUUGUACAUGCAACUCCAGUAGAUUUAAUAGACAUUCAUCAUCCAGACAAUAGACUCUUCAUAUGUUCUUCAAACCAGUAAAACUUGGGAUCCUCAACAUUUUCUGUGUCAAUAAAAUAAAGUGUGGAAUUAGCAGAUUCAACAAGGACCUGUUUUUUCUUUGUCACACUGGCUGUCUAGACACCAUUUGGAUUGGGUUUAGAAGAUGGGGAAGUAUAGAUGUUUCUUGGCCUAAGUCUCUUAUCUUAACCGUAGAGAUGUAGAAGGAAACAAGACGAUGAAGAGACUGGCUGUUGACUGCAGAGCACUGCUAGUCGUCAGGGUGAUGGCAUUAGCUGGAUUUGGGGCAGUGGAGGUAUUCUGGGAGGAGUUACUUGAAAGUUUUACAGUAGGUUUUUGAUUUGAAUAAAUCUGUGUGGGUAGAAGCAGCUGCAGAAGAAGAAGCCCCAGUGAGAGCCUGGCCAUCAUCGCCCUACCCAGGUCCACUCUGCCAGUAUCAGUGCUCUCACUUGAUGCCACAUGAGUGGAGACCCGCUGGCUCAAGGGGGGGGCAGGCAAGGUGUCUAAUCAAUUUAUUAAUAGAUUUUUUUUUAUGGAGUUUGACAAGAUGGUUCCAAAAUUCGGAAAAGAAAGUAUCUAAAAGUAUGUAAUUUUUUAUUUUUAAAAGAAAGAGAAUGGGCUAGACUGCCAUCUAACAUACUUUAAAUAGGUAACAUGGAAUGCGGCAGUUUUGGUGCCAAAAAGGUUAAAUUAGAGCUACAACAGAAUAUAGAAAAAACAAACAAACACUACUAUAGAUGGAAACUGGCAUUUCCAAGCAGUAGGAAUAGAACAAGUUGCCAUUAGUGUGUAAGAAAUUACACUCUAACUCACAAAAUUCAAUAGCAAUUACAAAUAGAUUCAAGUUUAUUUUUUAACGUUUACAUUGAAAUAAUAAAAGAACAAAAACCUUAAAUGGUUAAAACAAAUUGCAUCAGACUAGAGAGACUUGAAAUAUGUAUUAAAGGAUUCAUAUCCCUAUUUUAUAAAAAAAAUUGUUCAAAAAUAAUGAGAAAAAACAAAUUCCAUCAUAAAAUUGGGUCAAAGGCAUGAAAAAAUAAUGUCUAGAAAGGAAGGUAAAAAUGUUUAAAAUGGUGAAAAAUGCUCAACUUCACUAGGGAUUCAUAAUGUGUAAAUUAACACAAUGAGUUAAUUUUUCUCCCACAAGACUGGCAAAAACUUUAACUAUAAAUCAAACUUUAUUGAUAAUGUGGGGGAAUGCAUACCAUUAUUUAUUAUUAGUGGAGGUGUGAAGUGGCACAAAAUUUGAAAGUUAGUAAUAGCUUUCAUUUUAAUAUACUUCAUACCAUUUAACCCAGAAUAUUUAUCACUGGGAAUUAAAAUGUUAAUUCAUCAAUAGAAAGCUGGUGAAAUAAUCUUUUGUAUAUCCAUAGCUUAGAAUAGUACCUAAUCAUGUAUAUUUUUUAAAUUGUGGUGAAAUAUACAUAAUUUAAAAUUUACUAUUGACAUCAUUGUUUAGUGUUUAGUUCGGUAGCAUUAAGUACGUUCACACUGUGGUGAAACCAAUCUCCAGACUGUUUUCAUCUUACAAAACUGAAACUCUGUACCCAUUAAAUAACAACUCCCACUCCUCCCUCCCCCAGCGCUUGACAACCACCAUUUUCUGUUGUUUGUAUGAAUCUACUACUCUAGAUACCUCAUGUAAGUAGAAUCAUAUAGUGUUGGUAUUUUUGUGACUUGCUUAUUUCAUAUAGUAUAAUGUCCUCACGUUUCAUCCAUGUUAUAGCAUGUAUCAGAAUCUCCUUCCUUUUCAAGGCUAAAUAAUAUUCUAUUGUAUGUAUAUACCACAUAUGGGUUUUUUUUUUUUGUUUAUCCAUGUAUCUGCUGUUGGACACUUGGGUUGUUUUUACCUUUUGGCUAUUGUUAAUAAUGCUAUUAUGAAAACGUGUAUACGAAUAUCUCCUUUUACCCUGCUUCCAGUUCUUUUGUGUGAAAUUUCUGGAUCAUAUGAUAAUUCUAUUUUUAAUUUUUGAGAUAUCAUCAUACUGCUUUCUAUAGUGGGUGCACCAUUCUACAUUCCCACCAACAGGGCACAAAGAUUCCAAUUUCUCCACAUUUUUGUCAGCACUUGUUAUUUUCUGUUUGUUUUUUGAUAGUUGCCAUCAUGAUGGGUGUGAGGGGAAUAUCUUGUGGUUUUGAAUUGCUUUUGCCUAAUGAUUAACUAUUUUCAGAAUAUUUUCAUAUGCUUGUUGGUCAUUAGUAUAUCUUCUUGGAGAAAUGACCUAUUUAUUAUUUUAUAGGAGUUCUUUAUCUAUUAUGGAUGUUAACCCCUUAUCAGAGAUAUGAUUUGCAAAUAUUUUCUCCAUUCCAUAGGUUGCCAUUCUACUGUUGAUUCUGUCCUUUGGUGCACAGAAGUUUUUCACUUUUAUGUUAUCUAAUCUAUGUAUUUAUACUUUUGUUGCCUCUGUUUGUGGUAUAAUCUCUAAGAAGUCAUUGCAGAUCCAAUGUUGUGAAGCUUUCCCCCUAUGUUUUCUUAUAGUUUUGCCUCUCACGUUUAGAUCUUUGAUCCAUUUUGAGUUAAUUUUUCUAUAGGGUAAGGUAAGAGUCCAUAUUCAUCCUUUUGCAUGUGGAUAUCCAGUUUUCCCAACAUCAUUUAUUGAAGAUAUUCUGCUUUCCCCAGUCAAUGGUCUUGGCAUCCUUGUCAAAAAUCAGCUGACCAUAUACAUGUGAGACUGUUUCUGGGCUUUCUAUUCUUUUCUAUUGGUGCAUGUAUGUCUUUAUGCCAGUACUGUUGUGAUCAUUGUAGUUUGUUUAGAAAUCAGGAGUAUGAGUCUUGGGUCUCCAACUUUGUUCUUUCUCAAGAUUUUUUUAGCUAUUUGUGGUCCCUUGAGAUUCCAUGUGAAUUUUAGGAUGGAUUUUUGUAUUUUUGCAAACCAUACCAUUGGGAUUUUGAUAGAUAUUGCAUUAAGUUCAUACAUUGCUUUAGGUAGUAUUGAUAUCUUAACAGUAUGAAGCCUUCCAAUCCAUUCUCACAGGAUUUAUUUCCAUGUAUUUAUCUACUCUUUAAUUACUUUCAGCAACAUUUUGUAGUUUUUAGUUUACUUGGUUUUUAGUUUGGUUUGCUUCCUUGGUUUAUUCCUUAGUACUUUAUUCUUUUUGAUGCUAUUGUAAGUGGAAUUGUUUUAUUAAUUUCCUUUUCAUAUUGUUCAUUGUAUAUAGAAACUUAAAUGAUUUUUGUACAGUCAUAUAGUUUUUAAAAGGUAGAUAUUAUGAACAUAGAAAAAUCUCUAGGAUACAUUGUUGAAUAAAAACAAGUACAUAUUUCAGAAUUCAGUAAGAUACAACUUAUGAAAAGAAAUAUCUGUAUACAUUUAUAUACUACCACUCUAUAAAUGAGGUUUUUUCACAUUUUCCCACAAUGGUGGAUGACAAUAUUCCUGUGUGAUAUUAUGAUUUAUAAUAAACAUAUAUUUCAGUCUUUG